GAAUCCCACAGGCCGUAAACCCAAGGUUUCCAGGGGAAGGUUCGUCCGCCCUGGGUUAGUCGGGACCUAAGCUGAGGCCGAAAGGCGUAGGUGAUGGACAACAGGUUGAUAUUCCUGUACUACCGAUAACCGUUUGAGAGAAGGGAUGACACAGUAGGAUAAGCUAAGCACACUGUUGGUUAUGUGUGCCCAAGCAUUGAGGCAGUCAAAGUAGGCAAAUCCGCUUUGAUAAUGCUGGGAUGUGAUGGGGAGCGAAAUUUAGUAGCGAAGUAGCUGAUUUCACACUGUCAAGAAAAGUCUCUAUCGAGGUUAAAGGUACCCGUACCGCAAACCGACACAGGUGGGUGAGGAGAGUAUCCUAAGGCCAGCGAGAGAACUGUUGUUAAGGAACUCGGCAAAAUGACCCCGUAACUUAGGGAUAAGGGGUGCCACCAUCAGGUGGCCGCAGAGAAUAGGCCCAAGCGACUGUUUACCAAAAACAUAGGUUUCUGCUAAGUCGCAAGACGAUGUAUAGGAGCUGACGCCUGCCCGGUGCUGGAAGGUUAAGGGGAUCUGUUAGAGCAAUCGAAGCAGUGAACUUAAGCCCCAGUAAACGGCGGCCGUAACUAUAACGGUCCUAAGGUAGCGAAAUUCCUUGUCGGGUAAGUUCCGACCCGCACGAAAGGCGUAACGAUUUGGGCACUGUCUCAACAACAGACUCGGUGAAAUUGUAAUUCCGGUGAAGAUGCCGGAUACCUGCGACAGGACGGAAAGACCCCAUGGAGCUUUACUGUAGCUUGACAUUGGGUCUUGGUACUACAUGUACAGGAUAGGUGGGAGGCUUUGAAACCAGGACGCCAGUUUUGGCGGAGCCAUCCUUGGGAUACCACCCUUGUAGUACUGGGACUCUAACCAUAGGCCAUGAAUCUGGUCUUGGGACACUGUCAGGUGGGCAGUUUGACUGGGGCGGUCGCCUCCCAAAAGGUAACGGAGGCGCUCAAAGGUUCUCUCAGUACGGUCGGAAAUCGUACGUAGAGUGUAAAGGCAAAAGAGAGCUUGAUUGCAAGACAUACAGGUCGAGCAAGGAUGAAAAUCGGACUUAGUGAUCCGGUGGUUCUGCGUGGAAGGGCCAUCGCUCAACGGAUAAAAGCUACCCUGGGGAUAACAGGCUUAUCUCCCCCAAGAGUCCACAUCGACGGGGAGGUUUGGCACCUCGAUGUCGGCUCAUCACAUCCUGGGGCUGUAGUAGGUCCCAAGGGUUGGGCUGUUCGCCCAUUAAAGUGGUACGCGAGCUGGGUUCAGAACGUCGUGAGACAGUUCGGUCCCUAUCCGUCGCAGGCGUAGGAAAUUUGAGAAGACCUGUCCUUAGUACGAGAGGACCGGGAUGGACGUACCUCUGGUGUACCAGUUGUCCUGCCAAGGGCAUGGCUGGGUAGCUAUGUACGGAAUGGAUAAGCGCUGAAAGCAUCUAAGCGCGAAGCCAACUUCAAGAUAAGAUUUCCCACCGCAAGGGUAAGACCCCAGAAAGACUAUCUGGUUGAUAGGUCGAAGGUGUAAGUGCAGCAAUGUAUUUAGCUUAUCGAUACUAAUAGGUCGAGGACUUGACCAAU
rnacentral:rRNA from 1 species